rnacentral:lncRNA from 10 species
CAGUCGAAAGAAUGAGGUGGCCUCAUGUAGGUGGAUCUCUAACAUAUAUUAGGUUGAAAAGCAGAGCAAGUGAAUGACAAGGUGCAGGAUAAUACGCAUAACAUGCUCACAUUUGAGUAAGAAAAUCCUAUUAAUGCGUGUGCUUGUGUAUGCGUGGAAGCGCUUCUGGAAGGACAUCGAAGAUGCUGGGGAGAGUGAUUGCCUCUGAGAAGAUAACUGGGAGGCUGGGGUGCCAGGAGGGAGGAAGAUGUGCUUCUCACAGUAUGUCCUUGGAUUGCUUACAUUACCAUGUUCAGUGCACAAUGUAUCAGAUCCUUCUUUCAUGCCCCCUCCCCUGUCCCCCGACAGCUGCAAGACAGGGAGGGAGUGAUGGCCUGAGCUAGUGAGACCUGAAACACAGGGCCUGACUGAUGGCCCCAAGGUGAGGGUGUGGGUGAGGACACACCCAGCGUGCCAGUGUCUGUUUUGUGCUGAUGAACAGAUUUGUCAUUGGCACUUUUGCAAAACUGCAAUGAAAUUCUGGCUCAGGGCACAAUCACCCAGCUGGGGCCCCGAGGCUUUUGGAAGUCACCCGUGGACAGCUUGUCAGCAAAUCUUUAUGGAGCAACAACUCUGUGCUAGGUGCUGAGUACACAGUGAUGAGCAAAACAUGCAAAGACCGUGCCCUCUUCAACUUGGAUGGCCAGUGGGGAUUAGGAAAACAAAUAAGUCAACAAACCCACAAUACCAUCAGUGUUGUGUUCAAGUAGGCUAUGCAGAGGGACAGGAGGGCCUGAGGGCUGCUUCAUACAGGGUGAGGAUGGAGGGGUUCUGAGGAGGGAUGCCCAGGCUGAGACCCAAAAGGUGAAAAUGAGCUGAUAGGGAGAGGUGGGUGGCAGCCAGGAGUGAGUAGAAUUACAGGUGGAGGGACCAUGUUGGGAGGCUCCACGGAGGACAGUCUGGAAGGACUGAAGGACAGCCAAUGUGGCCAAAGAGUAGUGAGUGUGAGAGAGGGGGAGCCAGGUGAGGUUGGUGGGGAGGCGGUAGGGACGCCACGCUCCUGCUGCCCUGACUGUGGGGCACAGGGUGGCAGUCAGGCCUGUGGGUCACCCACCUUCUCAGGGGCUGGCAUUUGCCUUUUCUUGCCUUGCCCUUUCAGUUGGAUGCAACCACUCCAUGACUCCAGUGGAGGAUGAGACCCUGGGAUCAGUUCCUGCCCUGGCCACAGGCUUUGCUCACCCUAUGUUCUAAUGAUCAGUAUUUCUGCAGUAACAUCUUGCAGAAAUAGUUUUAGUUCACCCAUGCUGAGGUGGAGGCAGGGAAAACCAGGACUGAGUUGAAAAUGCUCCAGGUUUCAUGUGCCUUUUCCGUGUUCUAGGUGAUCAAGAUUUCUGCAAUAGUAUCCUGCAGAAUUAGGUGGUGUGGACAAGGGGGCUUCAGGGUGCAUCAGGCAACAUUAUGUUUGGCUGCAUGGGACAGAAAAUGCCAGAUCAUGUAGCUUUAAGAAGAUAGAGUUUUAUUUUUUGUAGAUAAACAAAGUUUGGAGGUAAAUCUAGACCCUUGAAUUAGUCCUAGAUCAUCCAUAAGAAGCUACCACAUGGCCCAAGAUGGCUGCUCAAAUGCCAGCAGUUGCAUCUACAUUUCAGACAGGAGGAGGAAUGUGUGGGGAAGAGAAGGGCACACUUCUGUUUAAGGUCCCUUCAUGGAAAUCGUAUAUGAUUUACUUCUGCCUGUAUUUCAUUGUCCAGAAUUUAUCCCAGGGCUGCCCCUAGCUGCAGGAAGAGCUGGGAAAGGUAGUUUUUAUUCUGGGUGGCGAUGUGCCAAGCUAAAGACAUCAGGGGUUCCAUGUUAAAGGAGGAAGAGGGAAAUGAAGAAUGCCAGACACAGCAUUUUCUGCCACAUAUGAUCAAAUAAAUUUGAGAAAUACUUGGUUAAACAAAAUGAAAUAGGCUUCUUCACUGCAGAAUGUCUCAACCUUUAGUGCGCUCAUGGACAUUGCUAAUCUGUAAAAGAGGCUGUAGUAGUAUGUAGCCUUUCCAAAAUGUAUUAAAUGAUAGAAUUGGUGUGUGUGUGUGAAGCACCUUACGGAAUUGGUGUUCUGCAGAGGCUAUUCAGGUAAACGUAGUCCUUGAUUAUAGAGUUCAAAAAUAACCAAGCUAGGCAACAUGCUUUCAUUUUAAAGACUAAAUGCCAUUCCUUCAAUCAGCCUAGACCACCUACCCUGGAAACGACAGGCCCUGGGCCAAGUGCUGGGAUAUAUGGCUGAGUCAUGAUUCCUGCUCUCAAUAAGUUCAAAGUCAAGAGAGACACAUUCUCAGCAAAAUAAUGACAAGAAAUGCCAGAAUAGAACCUGGACUGGAAGAAUGUGACAUUGGCCUGCAGAAUCAGGUGGCUGGGGUGGAGGCUGUGGACAGCAUAGAGUGGGGUGGGCGGAAAAGGGUUGGUGCAAGGCAGUGAGUCUGGAGGGGUGAGUGCAGCCAGUGGUGAAAAGCCUCAAGUGCUGUGCCAAGGAUGUGUGCCUUCUCGUUGUGGCACCUGGAAGGAGACUGCGGGGUGCAGAAGGGCCAUGUACCAGGGAGUGGAUCGUGAUCUUUCCUCCUCCCUGGCCACAUGCUUAGGUACUACAGGUUAGGAUUUGAACAUCUGAAUUUUGGGGUGGACUCAAUUUAGCUCAUAACAGAGGCCCAUCAGAAAUCUCGCCUCCUCCAGGAAGCCUUCUGCACUCAAAACCAGGCAAUCCCCCUUUCUGGAACUCCCAUAGCACAUAAUGUCUGAGGAACUCAGUGGCCCAGGGCCACUUGGGUAUUUAUAUUCUGUCUCUCUGAGGCUGGACUUAACUCUGGGUCGAUGGCAUUUAUAGUUUUUGAAAACAAGUGCAGCACAGCGGAAGCCCUUUUAUCUGAUGUUAUUAGGACUGGUAGUUGGGUAGUAAACUGAAAAUCCAAAAGGAAUGCCAGAAAGCAGCAUGGCUCAACAUGCGGUAGGCGGAAGAUUGAUGCAGGAGUAGAGAGCAAAGGUUAACCACUGUGUUAGUGAAAUCGACGUUGGCUGGGAGAGAUUCUCCUGCACAAAAACAAACAGCAGCCACCAAAGCCCAAGAUGGAUGAAAUCUGGAUGCGAAGUUAUCCAGCUUCCCAUUGAGAGUGGAUUUCCUUUUAAAGAAACCAUCAAUACUCUGUGUCAUUUAAGACUCCUAUCUGGUUUGGGUGUCAAGGGAAGUGGCCAUACAAGCUGUUUGGGACUUUAAAAGUGGAAUGGAAUCCAGGACACAGUGAGGGUCCCCUACAGAACCUGAAUGAUUUUGUUUUUGUUUUUUGAGAUGGAGUCUUGCUCUGUUGCCCAGGCUGGAGUGCAGUGGCACGAUCUUGGCCCACUGCAACCUCCGCCUCCCGGGUUCAAGCGAUUCUCCUGCCUCAGCCUCCCGAAUAGCUGGGAUUACAUGUGUGUGCCACCAUGUCUGGCUAAUUUUUGUAUUUUUAGUAGAGACUGGGUUUCACCAUGUUGGCCAAGCUGGUCUCAAACUCCUGACCUCAGGUGAUCUGCCCGCCUUGGCCUCCCAAAGUACUGGGAUUACAGGUGUGAGCCACUGCACCUGGCUGGGAACCUGAAUAAUUUUGGAAAAUAAAGUUGUCUUUUGAGAGUUAAACUAUAAAACAAACAUAAUAGGCCCAAAGCAGGGAGUGGCAAAGACUUUGUUUCACCUGCUUCACAGUGUCAACAUAGCCCCAAAAGAUUGGCCAUCAGAACUGUGUGUGUGUGUGUGUGUGCAAGUGUGUGUGAAUGUAUGUAUGUGUGUUGUGUAUGGCAGUGUAUGCAUGUGAGUGUGAGUGUGAGCAUGUCUGUGGGCAUGUGGGCUUGUGUAAUGUGUAUGAUCAUGUGCAUGUGUGUGUGAGUGGGUGUGGAUGUGUGGACAGCCAGGGAGGCCAAGGAGAGGGAGAGCAUACUGCCUUUGCCUAGAAAGGUGUAGCAAAGCCAGGCAGUGUGUCCCUGGCUUUCCCCAGGGGAAGAGGGGGACACUGGGCCAGAAACUUGAGCUCCUGGCCUCUGCUGAAUCUCUGUGCAUUCAAGGGGAGAUAUGUGCAUGAAGUCAUUGCAGUGUGACGCCUCUGUACUCAUCAGAUCACCCACGUCAUCUAAUGCACUCCCAUCACAUUCCAGACUCAGUGCUGCCAUCAGCUCCCUAGGAGCUCUCCCUCCAGGAAGGGAAUGUGUCCACCGUCAGACACUCAGACCCAGCAUGUGGGGACAGAGGCUGAUGGCCUGUCUGGCCAUUCCUCUCAGUUCCUCUCCUCACUAGCUUGUGUCCUUGUGCAAGUCACUUACCCUCUCUGAGGUUCAGUUCCCUCCUCUUUGAAGUGGGUUUAAUAAUAGUACCUGCCACAUAGGUUGUGAAGAUUGAUGAGAUUAACCAUAUAAUGUGCUUAGCACAAUGCCUAAUGUAUGGCAAGCCUUCCAAAAGUAUACGCUACCAUCAUAAUGAUCAAUAUGAUAAUAAAUCAAAACAUCCGUAUUGUUUUUCAUAUGUG